rnacentral:rRNA from 1 species
CCCUUAGAUGUUCUGGGCCGCACGCGCGCUACACUGAUCAGUGCAACAAGCAUCCGUCCUUGGCCGACAGGCCCGGGCAAUCUUUGAACGCUGAUCGUGAUGGGGAUAGACUUUUGCAAUUUUUGGUCUUCAACGAGGAAUUCCUAGUAAACGCAAGUCAUCAGCUUGCAUUGAUUACGUCCCUGCCCUUUGUACACACCGCCCGUCGCACCUACCGAUUGAAUGGUCCGGUGAAAUCUCGGGACGGCGGCUUGGUCGCUUGCGUCCGACUGCUGAAACUUGAUUAAACCAUAUCAUUUAGAGGAAGGUGAAGUCGUAACA